ACCAAUUCUGGGGAAUAAAAUUGGUUUCCCUAGGUAUAAUGGCUUGGACGCAAAAGCGAAGAGUGGUCAUCCUGAUAAAUGUCUAUUUCAAUGUCAUUUCAUCCUGGAAACACCACCUAUAUCA
rnacentral:snoRNA from 1 species